AUACGUAGGGGGCGAGCGUUGUCCGGAAUUACUGGGCGUAAAGGGUGCGUAGGCGGUCCUUUAAGUUGGAUGUGAAAUACCCGGGCUUAACCUGGGGGGUGCAUUCAAGACUGGGGGACUAGAGUUCAGGAGAGGGAAGCGGAAUUCCUAGUGUAGCGGUGAAAUGCGUAGAUAUUAGGAGGAACACCAGUGGCGAAGGCGGCUUUCUGGACUGACACUGACGCUGAGGCACGAAAGCGUGGGGAGCAAACAGGAUUAGAUACCCUGGUAGUCCACGCUGUAAACGAUGAAUACUAGGUGUAGGGGGUAUCAACUCCCUCUGUGCCGCAGCAAACGCAAUAAGUAUUCCGCCUGGGGAGUACGGCCGCAAGGUUGA
rnacentral:rRNA from 1 species